AAAAUGGUUCUCUACAAACAAAUUUUCAUUGUAAAUGAAAUAUCUAAUGAUUUCAUUUUA
rnacentral:tRNA from 1 species